rnacentral:lncRNA from 1 species
AAACCCUGUUUGAUCACAUCAUUUGUCUUAUUCUAUUAGAAUUUCUGAGAAACCUUUGAAGUGUCUUCUGGAAUGCAGCUCUUCAUAUUAUAGCCGUAAAGAUGGCAUAAAGAUUGACUCUUCCCACAAACGUCUAAGAAAGUACAGAAAGAGCUUUGGUAUUUUCAGAUGAAAUCUUGCACCUUCUGGCAUCACUGAGAAAGCCUGCAUAACAUCUUUCAACUUGUGCAUGUAGAUGUAUGCUCACCAUUGCACUUGGUCUUGUAUGUUUUCGAACUUCAAUUUAAAUGUGUUCAAAACAUGAUUCAUAAUGGCACGUUUUUAAAAAUAUCUCGCCAUUUAAAUCAUGUUUAAGUUGUCCUGUUUUAUUACAUGACAGUUGUGUGAACAAAUCACAUCUG